CCCUUAGAUGUUCUGGGCCGCACACGCGCUACACUGAAGGAGGCAGCGUGUACUCCUGGAUCGAAAGAUUUGGGUAACCCGCGAAUCUCCUUCGUGCUAGGGAUUGAGGUUUGCAAUUAUCCUUCAUGAACGAGGAAUUCCCAGUAAGUGCAAGUCAUAAGCUUGCGCUGACUACGUCCCUGCCCUUUGUACACACCGCCCGUCGCUACUACCGAUUGAAUGAUUUAGUGAGGACUUCAGACUGGGACCGAUGCGGCUUUCGGGCUGCGUCGGUAUUCUGGAAAGAUGUCCAAACUGUAUCAUUUAGAGGAAGUAAAAGUCGUANCA
rnacentral:rRNA from 1 species